rnacentral:lncRNA from 10 species
GACCUUGAGCCAGUGGGCUGUUUUCAUACUUCUCUUUCAUAGUUACUUAGUUGCGUUAACAUUGUCAAAAAGUAAAACAAAACUCCCAAGCCUAAAGCCUCCCCUGCUUUGAGACAGUCUCCCCAUCCUGACACCUGUGACCCUGAGUUCAUCUGCAUUAUUCCAACCCAUCUGGUGAAUGAGUUAAUGCUGAUUUUUGAUCAUCCAACAUGGUGUCAGCCUCCUUCAGCCUUCCAAGAACGCCAGAAGUGCCAAGCAAUUAACAACCCCAGAAGCAACCCUUAACCAAUGAUUAAAUAAAGUGGAUGAUUACAUACCCAAGCUCCUUCAACUCCCAGGGACAUAAUUCUGAGGGAUGGAAAACAAACUGAAACUGGCUCAAGUGAAUGCUCACUGGAAGGCUUACUGGAAAACUUACUGGAAGGAUGUGAGGACAUGUUCGGGAAUCUAUUUGCAGAAAACAUAUUCAGCCCUGUCCACCACAGCCAGCUGGCUGAAGAGCUCAAAAGGCAAGAAAUCAGCAAGAGAGAGAGAUGAAGCAUGAGAAAUGAGCAAAAAACACCCAGCACAUCAUAAUCUUGGACAGUUUAGCAGUACAUGAAAAUAGAUGGUCCUCGCCCCAAGGGACUGCAGUAACCCUGAAUAAACAGGAUGUCUCUCACUUUUAGCAGUUCUUUCUGUGCUAGUAUUGGGGAAAUAUAUUUUUGGCUGCAUGCAAAAUGGUAAAAGACAUCUAUUAAGAAAAUGAAAACAAUGCUUCUGUUUUAGACGAAGCUUUUGAAGGUUUAAGGAUCACCUAUUUAUUGACAAAAUUGUUUCCGUGGCUUAAAAAUAAAAUACAAACAAAUACUACAGGUAUUCUUGCCUUCUCAUUCUACUUAAAAUCACAUUUCCAAAGACUUUCUUCUCUACUUAAAAACAGGAAUUAAGAAAUACUCAAAAGAGAUCCUAGACAAAACUAACAUUUCAGCAACCAAAGAUAAAUCAUGCUUUUAGAGGAAGAUGCUAGGUUCUAGAAUCUCUCUGAACACCGUGUAGCACUAAGAAACUACAAUCACUGGCUGAGACCUUGAUCAAAUAAUGGCUAACAUAUAAGAUGCUUAUUCUAGUCAGGCACACUUCUAAGAGCUGUAUAUCUGCUAAUUCAUUUAUUCUCCUAGGAUAUAAAGGAUCAGCAGAUCCUUCAGGCUCUGGUAUGUUCUGAGAUGAGUUAACCCAGAAAUUGUCAUCAAAAGACAGAUUCAGCAAAACGGAAA